ACACACAGACAGACAGACAGACAGACAGACACACACACAGACACACACACACACACACACACACCCUGAAAGCAGUUGUCUUUGGAGCUUAUUGACAGCACAGUGGGACAGUGCGUCCCUCUCCGAGUGACCAAUCAGCUGAGUCCCAGGGGCCGCCGCCCCCCCCCAGUCCUCCUAACCUCUCUUCUUCUACAGAACCCAAACCUGGACAGGUGAACAGACUCUUUUAGCUCAGCCUCGAACACACACACUCAGAAACCCAUCCCGGCGUCUGUCAAAGCAAUAGCUGCCGCUGACUUGUCCCUUGAGCAGCGCGGAGGGCAGGAUCGCCCGCUGGGAGCAACGGCGAUGAAGUGCAACGUAGAAGUAGGCUUUAAGGAGAGAAUAUAGAUCUUUUCUUAAACGCUGUGUGUCCAUUUUUUGGGGGGCUUUAAUUCUAAAGACGUUAGUAGUCGGUGUCCUGUGGAACCAUUCUCUGGGUUAUUGUAUAAUAUCAAAAGCAUAAGUGUCACUUUCCCAAAAUCUGGUCUACUAACAUUUUUCUUAUUGUCAACAAAUCCUAUUAAAAACAAAAAAAGACUCAAAUGAACAAUGACUUGAUCCACUAACGAGUAUUGUGUGUGUACCCAAAGCCUGAUAUGUCCUCUUCCUUUGUGCCAAAGAGCUCCAUUGUUGUCCAAAUACUAUUAAAACCACAUCAGUGAGACACUC